AAAAACCGUAGUUUUACAUUGCUUAUGUCCAACGUUUGAUCGUCCGUCUUAUUUGAAAAAUUUUAUGAUUAGUUUUUUUUUGUUAUUAUAUGAUAAAAUAUGAAUAGUACUUUAUGUGUGAAUAAUUUUUCUAAAAAAAAUAUAAUCUUUUAAAAUAAGACGGGCGGUCAAACAUGGACACGGAAACCUACGACUGUAUUUAAA
rfam:Oryza nivara chromosome 10, whole genome shotgun sequence.